rnacentral:rRNA from 1 species
UACGGGGGGGGCAAGCGUUGUUCGGAAUUACUGGGCGUAAAGGGCGCGUAGGCGGCCAUCUAAGUCAGACGUGAAAUCCUCGGCUCAACCGAGGAACUGCGUCUGAUACUGGAAGGCUUGAAUCCGGGAGAGGGAUGUGGAAUUCCAGGUGUAGCGGUGAAAUGCGUAGAUAUCUGGAGGAACACCGGUGGCGAAGGCGGCAUCCUGGACCGGUAUUGACGCUG